GCAUAUCAAUAAGCGGAGGAAAAGAAACCAACAGGGAUUGCCCUAGUAACGGCGAGUGAAGCGGCAACAGCUCAAAUUUGAAAUCUGGCUCUUUCAGGGUCCGAGUUGUAAUUUGCAGAGGGUGCUUUGGCGUUGGCAGCGGUCUAAGUUCCUUGGAACAGGACAUCGCAGAGGGUGAGAAUCCCGUAUGUGGUCGCAUGCCUUCGCCGUGUAAAGCCCCUUCGACGAGUCGAGUUGUUUGGGAAUGCAGCUCUAAAUGGGAGGUAAAUUUCUUCUAAAGCUAAAUACCGGCCAGAGACCGAUAGCGCACAAGUAGAGUGAUCGAAAGAUGAAAAGCACUUUGGAAAGAGAGUCAAACAGCACGUGAAAUUGUUGAAAGGGAAGCGCUUGCAGCCAGACUUGCCUGUAGUUGCUCACCCGGGCUUUUGCCCGGGGCACUCUUCUGCGGGCAGGCCAGCAUCAGUUUGGGCGGUCGGAUAAAGGCCUCUGACACGUACUUCCCCUCGGGGUUGACAUAUAGGGGAGGCGUAAUGCGACCAGCCUGGACUGAGGUCCGCGCAUCUGCUAGGAUGCUGGCGUAAUGGCUGUAAGCGGCCCGUCUUGAAACACGGACCAAGGAGUCUAACAUCUAUGCGAGUGUUUGGGUGUCAAGCCCGAGCGCGAAAUGAAAGUGAACGGAGGUGGGAACCCCUCGGGGCGCACCAUCGACCGAUCCUGAUGUCUUCGGAUGGAUUUGAGUAAGAGCAUAGCUGUUGGGACCCGAAAGAUGGUGAACUAUGCUUGAAUAGGGUGAAGCCAGAGGAAACUCUGGUGGAGGCUCGCAGCGGUUCUGACGUGCAAAUCGAUCGUCAAAUUUGGGCAUAGGGGCGAAAGACUAAUCGAACUAUCUAGUAGCUGGUUCCUGCCGAAU
rnacentral:rRNA from 1 species